rnacentral:rRNA from 1 species
CAGUCGCCGCGGUAAUACGUAGGGUGCGAGCGUUAAUCGGAAUUACUGGGCGUAAAGCGUGCGCAGGCGGCUUUGCAAGACAGAUGUGAAAUCCCCGGGCUCAACCUGGGAACUGCAUUUGUGACUGCAAGGCUAGAGUACGGUAGAGGGGGAUGGAAUUCCGCGUGUAGCAGUGAAAUGCGUAGAUAUGCGGAGGAACACCAAUGGCGAAGGCAAUCCCCUGGACCUGUACUGACGCUGAGGAGCGAAAGCGUGGGGAGCGAACAGGAUUAGAUACCCCUGUAGUCCUGUCUCUUAUACC